UGGGCUGCUCGCCGAGGCCCUAGCCUCCCGCUCCUAUAGCUAGAGGGCUGGUCCCGCCUCCCGGGAGCCGGUGGACUCUGGUCAGCCAACAUCUUCACUGCUCGGAUUGCGAGACCGCGGGAGAUUCAGAGCCAGGGGGAAACUACGGAUUGGAGUUUUCCAGAACCGGAGUCGGAUUACUUCUUUGAGCCUCGUUAGGGGAGAAACUUUGGCUUGCUCCUAGAAACCAAGAUGACCAGUGCGUUACAUCCUCAUCACUUGGGAAAAGAAUAAAUAUGGGAACCUAGGAAGAAGUAUUGAGAAAGCAAGCAUCAUGAUGCUUUGAGAUAGGAAGAAGUUGAAGAAAGUGUUUGUUCAAGUAAUCAAGUCGAAAACACUCAGGUUGCCAUCCACAUCCUCUCUCCAGUUCUCCCUGGUCUAUAACAGGAAUGCCCCUUACUCUACAGCAGGCACACUGUGCCAUGGGUCAAGAUGCCUUGCUUCAUGGGAGAACCUUGUUUGUUGUUCCCACCACUGACUCUGACCACAUAACCCUCCACUCUUCAUGCAAAGAAAGCAUCAGCAGCUCCUCUGUGGCCACGUACUUCUAAAAAGUAUGAAGCCUGUAUUUAUCAUCCACUCCAAUGAGUUUCUCACAGCCAGUGGCAGGGAAGGAAAUAUUCAACUUCAUCUUGAUACAGCCAACUGCCUAAGAAGCACCAUGAAAAACAAGCAAGAUGCACUACUUUUUAAUACUAGAAGACUUUUAAGGGUUCAAACUACAGCGUGCAAAGCCCAGCAAGUAUAUGAUAGGAUGUUAAAACCAAUGUCUGAUGCAUCCUGUAUGGCUCAAAGAACUUUUAUUAAAAGUGGUUCAACUCAAUCUAACUUUGUCCUUACUUUCAUAAAGCAAAGCUCAGUAACAAAACUUCAGCUGCUUCGUAUACCUACUGUACAGUUACACUUACCAAGGGCGCCCUCUGGUGGGCCACAGAAAGCACAUCCCCAGCUGAAGAUGCUUUUGGACCUCUCUACUGAACUGCCCUGAAGCAGUCACUGAAAAAGCAUGCCCAGCAGCUUGGGAGAAACAGAACAGGAAAGAACAGGCCUGGCCCUGCUGCACCGCUGAAGGUGAGGAAUGUGUUUGUCAGAUCCUCCCUGGGCCACAUGUGGUGAAGACUGACCACACAGCAGACUCUUCAGCCUCCCAGAGAGGCUGCUCCAGAGAGUCACACAGUCCCAUCCUUCGGCACCUGGCCUCACCCCUCCUGUUCCAAAAGCCUCUGGCGUGUUUCUAGCAUGAUCUCCUCCAUUACUUCUGGCUUUAAGAUAUCUUUAAUCUGAAGGAAAACAGAAAAAGGCUCCUUGUGUGCAGAGAAACAGCUCCAUCUGAGAACACUGCCUGGACCUCCGCCUGCCCAGGUGAUGAAGGAACAAGAACAGCCAUGGCAACCCACUCUCUGUCAUCUGCAUGCAUCCAGCUUGCCCUCCAUCACUGACAGGCCACCCUGCCUAUCUUACAUGACCCCAGGGGACAUCACUAUGACCUCACCUCUCCCCUUGGUUGGCAAGGGUAUCUUGAUACAAUCUUUGCUACUCUCUG